rnacentral:tRNA from 1 species
GUGGACGUAGCUCAAUUUGGUAGAGCAUCAGAUUGUGGUUCUGAAAGUUGCUGGUUCAAAUCCAGUCGUUCACC